rnacentral:lncRNA from 1 species
GCCAAUACUAGUCACGUGUUCUGCCAAGGAAAUGAAAAACUCCGGUAAUUUUUAUUGAAUGAUAAUUGCCAAGUAGCAAAACACUCAGAUUGUAUAUAAACAGUUGGUUUUAUGUAGCAAAUAGGUUGAUCGAUGGAUUAAUAAAUGCAAAUGCAGAAGAGAAUACAGACAAAAUUGCACGCACAUAAAAUGACAAUUUCUUUUCAUUACAACAACUUGAAACUGACGAUCUUGCUUCUUGGAUUAUUAUCGUUCUAUAUUCAGUUGAUGCUCUGCUUUUCUUAAAGGCGUAGAGAAACAAUGUUAAUGGACUGAAAGCUAUGAAAUUAUAUGCAUUAAGGUAUU